GAUGAACGCUAGCGAUAGGCCUAACACAUGCAAGUCGAGGGGCAGCACGGGAGUAGCAAUACAACUGGUGGCGACCGGCGCACGGGUGAGUAACGCGUAUGUAAUCUACCUACAACAGGGGGAUAACCCGGAGAAAUCCGGACUAAUACCGCAUAAAACAGGGGUCCCGCCUGGGACUAUUUGUUAAAGAUUUAUCGGUUGUAGAUGAGCAUGCGUUCCAUUAGAUAGUUGGUAAGGUAACGGCUUACCAAGUCAGCGAUGGAUAGGGGAACUGAGAGGUUUGUCCCCCACACUGGAACUGAGACACGGACCAGACUCCUACGGGAGGCAGCAGUGAGGAAUAUUGGUCAAUGGGCGAGAGCCUGAACCAGCCAAAUCGCGUGAAGGAAGACUGCCUUAUGGGUUGUAAACUUCUUUUACAGGGGAAUAAAAAGACAUGCGAGUAUGUCAUUGCAUGUACCCUGUGAAUAAGCAUCGGCUAACUCCGUGCCAGCCGCCGCGGUAA
rnacentral:rRNA from 1 species